rnacentral:rRNA from 1 species
GAUGAACGCUGGCGGCGUGCCUAAUACAUGCAAGUCGAGCGAACAGACGAGGAGCUUGCUCCUCUGACGUUAGCGGCGGACGGGUGAGUAACACGUGGAUAACCUACCUAUAAGACUGGGAUAACUUCGGGAAACCGGAGCUAAUACCGGAUAACAUGUUGAACCGCAUGGUUCAACAGUGAAAGACGGUCUUGCUGUCACUUAUAGAUGGAUCCGCGCCGCAUUAGCUAGUUGGUAAGGUAACGGCUUACCAAGGCAACGAUGCGUAGCCGACCUGAGAGGGUGAUCGGCCACACUGGAACUGAGACGCGGUCCAGACUCCUACGGGAAGCAGCAGUAGGGAAUCUGCCGCAAUGGGCGAAAGCCUGACGGAACAACGCCGCGUGAGUGAAGAAGGUCUUCGGAUCGUAAAACUCUGUUAUUAGGGAAGAACAAAUGUGUAAGUAACUAUGCACGUCUUGACGGUACCUAAUCAGAAAGCCACGGCUAACUACGUG